UACAACUAAGGUGGAGAUUUGAAGUGGUGUAGCUGCAUUGCAGGAAGGCUAGUAGAGACUGAGCCCAGGCCCACAUCAUAUUAAUCUCUCUCGCCUAGCUCUGCCUCAGCUCAAGUUAGAAGCUCAGGUUAGUUAGGCGGUUGUUCCAAACGGCUAGUUCUGGAAGAUGCAUCCCUUUCUUAUAAGAAAGGGAGGAAGAGCUCUGCAAGAAAGCUGGCGAAAGAAGAACCAGCGGCCAAAUCUAAGAAGAAAAUUAAAGUCCAAGUCGAGGUUAAACACGAAGAUGCAGUUGAAAGACAAAGAGCUGUGUAUUGAGGUCUUCCCCCCUUCUUUCAUGUUCGUGUACGAAAUCAAGAUUAACAACUCAAGAAACAUUCACU